rnacentral:rRNA from 1 species
AGUGAACGCUGGCGGUAGGCCUAACACAUGCAAGUCGAACGGCAGCACAGUAAGAGCUUGCUCUUACGGGUGGCGAGUGGCGGACGGGUGGGGAAUACAUCGGAAUCUACUUUUUCGUGGGGGAUAACGUAGGGAAACUUACGCUAAUACCGCAUACGACCUACGGGUGAAAGCUGGGGAUCUUCGGCCCUUGCGGGAUUGCAUGAGCCGAUGUCGGAUUGGCUAGUUGGCGGGGUAAAGGCUGACCACGGCGACGAUCCGUAGCUGGUGUGAGAGGAUGAUCAGCCACACUGGAACGGAGACACGGACCAGACUACUACGGGAGGCAGCAGUGGGGAAUAGUGGACAAUGGGCGCAAACCUGAUCCAGCGAGACCGCGCGGGUGAAGAAGGCCCUCGGGGUGUGAAGACCGUUUGUUGGGAAUGAAAAGCAUCAGGUUAAGACCAAGCGGUUCUGACGGUACCCAAAGAAGAAGCACCGGCUAACUUCGUG